rnacentral:tRNA from 2 species
GCACCUAUAGCUCAGAAGGGUGAGAGCGCGCAAAAGCGUUUACGUGAUUGCGAGGUCGCUGGUUCGAGUCCAGCUAGGUAAA